CGUGUUUAACCUUCCCAAGCAAGACAGCCCCAAAGUCCCGUCCAGUUUCUGCAUCCAGCCAGACAGAACCUCCCCUCCAAAGAGAAGUUCCCUCCGUCUCUGCAGCAAGAAUAUACCAAAAGCCAAGGACACAGGUGGAUGAAAUUGAUCAUGCCCUUGAGGGCAUAAACUUCUGUGGGAGUAGUUUGCAAACUGUAGGGAAGCGGACUGAAAUGAUGGUGUUGGAAACUGGCCAAUGCUCUGCAUCCUCAAAAACAACUUGUG